AUGGUCCUGCGAAGCACGGAGUUACAUCGAUGGAGAAGAAUUUGGGGAGAAUUUUACUGUCAGCCUGACGUGCAACCAGCCUCCUGCAGCUGGGGUCACUGUGCCAAUCAUCAUCUUGCUGUUAAUCAUCGUGCUGUUAAUCAUCGUGCUGAUCAUUAUCGUGCUGAUCAUUAUCGUGCUGAUCAUUAUCGUGCUGAUCAUCAUCGGGCUGAUCAUCAUGCUUUGCAUCUGUUACAAGAAGGUAAAUAUUUUCAGAGGCAAAUAAAAUCUUUGUUGGUGAAGAGCUUUAAUAAAGGAAUAGUUCACUUAAAAAUGAAAAUUAUCAUCUUUUACUCACGCUCAAGUUGUUCUUAACCUGCAUGACUUUUUUUUUUUCUUCUGUGAACAACAAAACAAAACAGUGUGAAUGUCAGGUUUGCUUUUUAUGUAUUAAUGUGGAUCAGGGACCCCAACUGCCAGUCUUCAAAAAGAACAACAAAAGUGCCUUUAAUAUACCAUGAUAAUUCCCCAGAAAACCUUGUGCCAUAUUCCAGGUCUUCAGAAGUCAUAUCAGCUUUACAUGCGGAAAUGGAUGGAAUUUUAAGUUAUUUCCCCGUUGCUAUAGCACCCAAAUUCCUUUUGCAUGUAGGCCUAUUCAAAGAUUGGCGAUUGGUCAUGACUGGUCAUGGGACAUGAGAAAUAAAGGAUUCAGAAGACUAGGAAUAUAUUUCACUAGUUGAGUAGACUAUUUUUUGUUAUAGAGUCAUACAGGUUUGGAAUGACAUGAGGGCGAGUAAUUGAUGAGAGCAUGGUCUUUUCUUUCUUUUUCUUUUUGGAUCUCAGGUGAUCUGAGAUCUUGUAUUAUAGUUGCAGUCAAGAAAAUAUUUUUUGUUAUAGAGUCAUACAGGUUUGGAAUGACAUGAGGGCGAGUAAUUGAUGAGAGCAUGGUCUUUUUUUUUCUUUUUCUUUUUGGAUCUCAGGUGAUCUGAGAUCUUGUAUUAUAGUUGCAGUCAAGAAAAUAAACCUCUAAAACACUUAAAAAGACACAAACUGUUCAUUGUCCAAAGCACUGAAAAAGAGAACAACUGCAAGUGUAUUGAGAUGCAUAAGAACAUUUGUGAUUAUGCAAGAGAUCAACAACUAAAUCAGUAUUUUUAGUAAUUUUUUUAAACAAGAUAUUUGUAUUUGCAGGUGAGGUGCUUCUUAGGUUUUUAAAGGUUUUUUUUUUUUUUUUUUUUUGGCAUGUCAGAAAACUGCCUCAAGCCAAGGCUAUGGCUCUGACAUAUGAUUUUAGAUGUUCUUCCUCACCAACUAUUUUCAUGAGAAUGGAAUGCUUGUGCAUAUUGUGAAAAGACACUUUUAACCAUUUUUAGUGUUUUGUUUUUGACAAAUUUGUUUAAUUGCCAUUGCAAAUGAAUAACACAUAUAUAUAUAUAUAUAUAUAUAUAAUAUAAUAUAGCAUAUCACAAGACUAUGUUAAUGAACUUUCUGUUUGGCCAAUUUUUGGUUUGGCUUCGUGGAGCUGUAACAUGAUACUGACCUUGAAAUAGUCAUUCAUGUAAAGUAAGGACCAGUUUUUGCACCUUUGAAGGGCACAGUGGGAAGAGUACAUUGUAAAUGAAAGUGAGCAAAUAUAUCCCUUCACAAAGGGUCUUUCCACAAGGCCUUAAGCAACAUAUAUACUUUGAUGGUCACUUCAAGGAAGUCAUUAUGCGAAAUCUGAUCCUAUUUGGCAAAUUGGAGAGCCAGUCAUAAUCCAGCAUUCAGUUUGUGGUAUUUUAUACACAAAGAUGUAUAGCACCUAUUAUACAAAGUGCUUUGCAAAAUACAUGAAAUUAGUAAGGAUUUAUUUUUAUUUUUUUUGCUGAAUGAUGCAGAGGAGAUUUAUUUUUAAUUUUAUUUAAAAUAUUGUUUCUGUAUUCACUUGCAGAGGACUCCUAACGAAGUGCAGGACACUGAGUCGGAAGAGAGGCAUAAUUUCCUCGAAUCAGAAAACGUGGUGUGAAGUAUGUCAGACACUUACAUUGUAUUGUGAUAGUUUUGUUAUGAAUCAUUCAUCUUUGUGGCACACUAUUCAGGUAAAAGUUAAUGUUAUUAAUGUCUUUACAGGUAAUGAUUAAGAAAACCGUGCUCCGGGAAUACAACUUGGAGGACUCUUCUGCCACCUCAGUUCAAAUAUGAUGUGCAAUAGUUAAGUGACAUCCUGGCAUACAAGGCCGUCAACAGACCAUUGUCUUGUUGUAGAGGUCUGCAUGAGAGGUCAUCCCACCUGUACUCGGCUAUCAAAAUCUGUGCCACACUGUUGGGUCAGAUCCCAUGGACGUGCCUUCGAACCUAGAACAGGGUUUUUCUACAUUUCAUGUUUACCUUUGAAACAAAGUCAUGAUAAGCUAAAGUACAUUUUACUCUGUAUAAGAGUGUCUUGCAAAUACUUCUGUUUAUAUAUACUGUGUAUUACUGUAUUAUUAGUUUUGUAAUCAGUAUAGAGACAGUAUUGUAAUUUUGUGCCAUCCUGAGGAGGAGGGCUUCCCUAGCUGAACAUCUCUCAAGGUUUAUGCCUCUUUAACUAAACCUUUUGGGGAGUUUUUUUCUUGCACUGUCACCUUUGGCUUCUUCACUGGGUGACACAAAGACCACAGUAUGUAUUUAAGAAGUGCUGCUUAAAAUGUAUUUGUAAAUAUUCUGUAUUUUAGUUUAUGGUGCUCUAAAUUAUCUUAAUUAACUUAAUGCUUGCACAUUUGUAUUGUAAAAUAAAAAUUAUUGAAGAAAAAUAUUUUUUGUUGGAUGAUUGACUUGAUAUACGGACUAGAUUUUCAAAUUCUCAAGAAAAUGUAAUUAUUUUACUAUGAAGGUUGCAGGUGUGAUAAACUUUUGUUUUAUUGUGAUACAAAUGUUAAAGAUUCUGCAAAAAUAUCAAAAAUCUACUGAUAAAAGGCUUAAAUAUACACAUUUCUAUCGCAUUUAAUUGUUAGUAUUGUUCUGUUUGCCACUGGAGAAUACAAACCACUAGACCACUUCCUGCUCCACUGGCACUGCUUUUCAUUUUAAGGGUUUUAAUUUCAUUGAACUGCAUUCUUUUGUAAAGAAAGAUAGCUUUGAUGUGAAUUCUAAGAUAACUCUGAUAUACAGUUAAUUUGAGUACUUGUAGGGAAAAAUGACUCCAUUAUUAAAGCUGCUUUGACACAACCAGUACAGUAUAAAGCGUUAUACAAAUAAAGGUGACUUGACUCGUCACUAAAGCCCCAUAUGCAUUCUACAGUACAGGUCAAAAGUUUGGAAACAUUACUAUUUUUAAUGUUUUUGAAAGAAGUCUCUUCUGCUCAUCAAGCCUGAAUUUAUUUGAUCA
rnacentral:lncRNA from 1 species